CGGGGCACGCCGGGAUAUGUAGUUUCUGGCCGCUGCCCUCCGGGAGGUCCUGUGCUAUCUACUUCACAGUGACUUGUCUCUGCCUGGUGAACUCACGGUGUUCUGCUAAUCUUGGAAAAAUCAUGUCCCUCUUCGUCCUCGCCCAUGAUGGCCGCAUGGAGAGUAAAACACAGAAAUGUGCUGUCUGGUCUUUCGUCUCUUCAGCAUGAAUUAUUUCUUGCCCUGUCGACAAGUUAAUAGCCAAGCCUCAACGUGAGAUGGAGAGACUGCCCAUCAAACCACAGCCAUAUUCAUCAAGCUUUGAGCCGAUCCGGUGAAGGAGAAAUGAGCACUGCAUACAUUUCAGGGAAAGGGACCAAAUAAAGCUUUUAAUAGGAAAUGAAAA